rnacentral:rRNA from 1 species
UACGUAGGGUGCAAGCGUUGUCCGGAAUUAUUGGGCGUAAAGAGCUCGUAGGCGGUCUGUCGCGUCGGCUGUGAAAUCCCGAGGCUCAACCUCGGGUCUGCAGUCGAUACGGGCAAACUGGAGUGUUGCAGGGGAGACUGGAAUUCCUGGUGUAGCGGUGAAAUGCGCAGAUAUCAGGAGGAACACCGAUGGCGAAGGCAGGUCUCUGGGCCACUACUGACGCUGAGGAGCGAAAGCGUGGGGAGCGAACAGG